rnacentral:tRNA from 1 species
GCUCGUGUGGCGCAAUUGGUUAGCGCGUUCGACUGUUAAUCGAAAGGAUGGUGGUUCGAGUCCACCCAUGAGCG